rnacentral:rRNA from 1 species
AGGGUGUAAACGCUGCAGACUUGGUGUUGGGGGCCCUUUGGGGGCAUUCAGUGCCGGAGAGAAGUUGUUAAGUCUGCUACUUGGGGAGUACGUCCGCAAGGAUGAAACUUAAAGGAAUUGGCGGGGGAGCACCGCAACGGGUGGAGCUUGCGGUUUAAUUGGAUUCAACGCCGGAAAUCUUACCGGGACCGACAGCAACAUGAAGGCCAAGCUGAAGACUUUGCCGGAUUAGCUGAGAGGUGGUGCAUGGCGUAGUCGUGU